rnacentral:rRNA from 1 species
GACGGAGGGGGCUAGCGUUGUUCGGAAUUACUGGGCGUAAAGCGCUCGUAGGCGGCUUUGCAAGUUAGAGGUGAAAGCCCGGGGCUCAACUCCGGAAUUGCCUUUAAAACUGCAUCGCUAGAAUUGUGGAGAGGUAAGUGGAAUUCCGAGUGUAGAGGUGAAAUUCGUAGAUAUUCGGAAGAACACCAGUGGCGAAGGCGACUUACUGGACACAUAUUGACGCUGAGGUGCGAAAGCGUGGGGAGCAAACAGG